rnacentral:rRNA from 1 species
AGACGUCUACAUUAGAUACCCGGGUAGUCCCAGCCGUAAACUAUGCGCGUUAGGUGUAUCGGUGACCACGAGUUACCGAGGUGCCGAAGGGAAAUCGUGAAACGCACCACCUGGGAAGUACGGUCGCAAGGCUGAAACUUAAAGGAAUUGGCGGGGGAGCACCACAACAGGUGGAGCCUGCGGUUUAAUUGGAUUCAACGCCGGACAUCUCACCGGAUAAGACAGCUGAAUGAUUGUCAAUCUGAAGGUUUUACAUGACUAGCUG